GGCAGUUGCUGAGGGACAGAGCCAGCCUUCCCUCAGGACCUGCCAGAUAAAGGAUCUUCCUCUUGCCAGGUCUGCCCACAAGUGAGCUGUUCUGCUCCCUUUGAAAUCCUUCCUCUGCUCUCUGCUUACCCUGCAGCUGUGUUGGGGUGGGGCUGGCUGAGGCCAGAGCAGCUCCUUAACCCCUUGUUGCCCCGUGUGAGAUUUGUAUUCCUCAUCACAAGUCCAAACAGAGGGGAAACAACCUUGAAGGCCAUAGAACGUCACCGAGUGCUUCCUCCAGAGAACCUAUGGCAUAUGACUGAGCCAGAGCACAUCUUCUGGAAAGACAUCUACAUGCAUUCGAGCCAGCUGGUAAGAAAAAACAUUCUUCUGCAGUGAUGUGAAGUUAAAGAACAUGGAGAAGAAGAAAACUUCUACUUGGGUUGUUACUGGAGCUGAAGCAGAGAGGCCAGGAUAAACAUGGCUAGGGCCCAGGACUGACUAUCAGCAGAUCUGCCGUUUUCUAUUCCUGGCUUUUUGACCAUGAGCAAAUUCUUUGCUUCUGUGUGCCUCAGUUUCCACAACUAUCAAAUAAAGAUAAUCAAGGUUC